CAUUCAGAAUAGCUGGAAUACGUAAUGAAGCUGUUAUAUUCGGUAAAGCGAAUGAUUAGAGGAAUUGUGAGACGAAACGUUUUCAAUCUUUUUUCAAAUUUUCAAUGAGAAUGACGUCUUGCUUGCUUGAAUGAAGCGUAGAUAUUGAAAUGUGUAUUCCACGUAGGCUAUUUUUGAUAAGCAGGAUUGACGCUGUAGGAUGAACCA
rnacentral:ncRNA from 1 species